UGGUGGUCAGUUGAAUUAGCCUCAUACUAU
rnacentral:piRNA from 1 species